AUUGAACGCUGGCGGCAGGCUUAACACAUGCAAGUCGAACGAGUGGCGGACGGGUGAGUAAUGUUUGGGAAUCUGCCUUAUGGAGGGGGAUAACUACUGGAAACUGUAGCUAAUACCGCAUACCAUAAGAUGAGCCCAAGUGGGAUUAGCUAGUUGGUGGGGUAAAGGCUCACCUAGCCGACGAUCCCUAGCUGGUCUGAGAGGAUGACCAGCCACACUGGAACGGAGACAGGGUCCAGACUCCUACGGGAGGCAGCAGUGGGGAAUAUUGCACAAUGGGCGCAAGCCUGAUGCAGCAAUGCCGCGUGUAGGAAGAAGGCCUUAGGGUUGUAAAGUACUUUCAGCGGGGAGGCGUUACUCGCAGAAGAAGCACCGGCUAACUCCGUGCCAGCAGCCGCGGUAAUAC
rnacentral:rRNA from 1 species